AACGAACGCUGGCGGCAUGCCUAACACAUGCAAGUCGAACGAGAACUUCGGGUCUAGUGGCCCACGGGUGCGUAACGCGUGGGAACAUGCCCAUAGGUUCGGAAUAACUCGCCGACAGGGAUGCUAAUACCAGAUAACGUCUUCGGCCGAAUGCCUUAUCGCCUUUCGAUGGGCCCGCGUUGGAUUAGCUUGUUGGUAGGGUAAAAGCCUACCAAGGCGACGAUUCAUAGCUGGUCUGAGUGGCUGAUCAGCCACACUGGAACUGCGGCACGGCCCAGACCCCUACGCGAGGCAGCAGUGUGGAGUAUUGAACGAUGAGCGAAGGCCUGAUCCAGCAGUGCGGCGGAAGUGGUGAAGGCCUUAGGAUAGUAAAGCUCGCAUGCCCGAGAUGAUAAUGACGGUACCGGGAGAAAAAGCUCCGGCUAACUCCGUG
rnacentral:rRNA from 1 species